GCCGAGGUGGCGGAAUUGGUAGACGCGCUGGCUUCAGGUGCCAGUGAUCAUUGCGGUCGUGCUGGUUCGACUCCAGUCCUCGGUACCA
rnacentral:tRNA from 1 species